AUGUUUGUGUGUUUGGGGAUUUUGAUACGUUACUUUUUUCAAUUUAAUCCCUUUAUUGGGAUUUUAACGAACCAAGAGGAAAGAGCUCUUGUUGGGUUAUUUUCCUUGUUAUUUAGUGUUUUCUUAUUUUUGUUAAUUUUUCUAUAUUUUUAUUUGUUUAUUUUUAUUGUGUCGUUUUUUAAUUAUCAUUGUCAUAAUAUAAUUAGGGAUUAG